rnacentral:rRNA from 1 species
AUGUGGUCGUCGUGGAGCCGGCGGAAGCCAGCCGCCGGGCGGCUCACGCAUUCCCCGUCGUUAUCCUCGUCUGCCACGUCGCCGUCCAAAGAGCACAGCGGCAUCGGCUCCGUCCUUGACGAUGCGGCGGCACCCCCCGCCGGCGGAGGCAAGAUCGUCCUGCACCGCGUGCGGUCGUCGACCAAGCUACGGACGUGCAAGUCGUUCGCGGCGGCCGAGGAGGCAGCGGCGGCCGCGGUGGCGGCCGAGCGGCGUGUCGUGCUCUACUUCACCUCCCUACGAGCCGUGCGGCCCACGUUCGAGGCCUGCCGCGACGUGCGCGCCAUCCUGCGCGGCCUCCGUGUCGGCGUCGACGAGCGGGACGUGUCCAUGGACGCGGCGUUCCUCACCGAGCUCCGCGCGCUGAUGCGGCGGGACCAACCGCCGCUGCCGCAGCUAUUCGUCGCCGGACGGCUCGUCGGAGACGCGGAUGACGUGCGCGCGCUGCACGAGAGCGGGGAGCUCCGGCGCGUCGUGGCCGGGGCGCCGCAACUUCCACCCACGCCGUGCGCGUCCUGCGGCGGCUCGCGGUUCGCCCCCUGCGUCGCGUGCGGCGGCAGCCAUCGCUGGUUCAGCGAGAAGACUAGGGGGUUCCGUGUCUGCGCAGCGUGCAACGAGAACGGCCUCGUGCGGUGCACCGCAUGCUCCCGCGGCUGA